UUGGGCGGUAAGCUGCGAUUGGAUCAUAUAGUAACACGUGUUUAUUCCCGAUCAACACUUGCAGAUCUAGAGACAAGCAUGAAUUUAAAGAAAUAAAAAAGUAUAUGCCUGAAUAUAUUUAAUAUUAAGACAAAAUUCAUUUUUUCAUAAACAUUUCAUUUACUAAUGAAGUAGGAAAUUCAUUCUUUUGAUACAUUUAUAUUGUUAUCGAAUUUAUAUCAGUGGCGGAUUCAGG
rnacentral:lncRNA from 1 species